rnacentral:rRNA from 1 species
UCGAGGAUCUUUCGCAAUGGGCGCAAGCCUGACGAAGCGACGCUGCGUGAGCGAUGAAGGCCUUCGGGUCGUAAAGCUCUUUCGCGCAAGAACAAGGAAAUGAUGUGAAUAACAUCGUAACUUGAGUGUACUGCGUAAAGAAGCACCGGCUAACUCCGUGCCAGCAGCUGCGGUAAUACGGAGAGUGCAAGCAUUAAUCGGAAUUAUUGGGCGUAAAGGGCGCGUAGGCGGAUAGCUAAGUCAGAUGUGAAAUUCCGAAGCUCAACUUCGGAGCUGCAUUUGAAACUGACUGACUUGAGGAUUGACGGAGAAAACGGAAUUCCACGUGUAGCGGUGAAAUGCGUAGAUAUGUGGAAGAACACCUGUGGCGAAAGCGGUUUUCUAGUUAACACCUGACGCUGAGGCGCGAGAGCAAGGGGAGCAAACAGG